rnacentral:rRNA from 1 species
GGGUGAGUAACACGUGGAUAACCUACCUAUAAGACUGGGAUAACUUCGGGAAACCGGAGCUAAUACCGGAUAAUAUUUUGAACCGCAUAAUUCAAAAGUGAAAGACGGUCUUGCUGUCACUUAUAGAUGGAUCCGCGCUGCAUUAGCUAGUUGGUAAGGUAACGGCUUACCAAGGCAACGAUGCAUAGCCGACCUGAGAGGGUGAUCGGCCACACUGGAACUGAGACACGGUCCAG